CCUACGGGAGACAGCAGUAGGGAAUCUUCCACAAUGGGCGCAAGCCUGAUGGAGCAACACCGCGUGAGUGAAGAAGGGUUUCGGCUCGUAAAGCUCUGUUGUUGGAGAAGAACGUGCGUGAGAGUAACUGUUCACGCAGUGACGGUAUCCAACCAGAAAGUCACGGCUAACUACGUGCCAGCAGCCGCGGUUAUACGUAGGUGGCAAGCGUUAUCCGGAUUUAUUGGGCGUAAAGCGAGCGCAGGCGGUUGCUUAGGUCUGAUGUGAAAGCCUUCGGCUUAACCGAAGAAGUGCAUCGGAAACCGGGCAACUUGAGUGGAGAAGAGGACAGUGGAACUCCAGGUGUAGCGGUGGAAUGCGUAGAUAUAUGGAAGAACACCGGUGGCGAAGGCGGCUGUCUGGUCUGCAACUGACGCUGAGGCUCGAAAGCAUGGGUAGCGAACAGGAUUAGAUACCCCGGUAGUC
rnacentral:rRNA from 1 species